UCAUAUUUCGCGAAAUUGUUCCGACUUCCAUCUUUAAGGGUGGAUACGGAUUUCCAACUACUCAUGUGAAAUGACCGGAUCAGAUAUAGAUAAAGGCAAUUUGCCCAGGUACAUUUUCGGUUUGCCAAAGUAUGCUACGAUCUAUGACCACGGUCAUACCAACCACUAUGGUUCUAUCAGAUAUUCUAUAGUCACGGCAGUACUUAGCCAAAAGUGACCCUUAAUAGAU
rnacentral:lncRNA from 1 species